rnacentral:rRNA from 1 species
UACGUAGGUGGCAAGCGUUGUCCGGAUUUACUGGGCGUAAAGAGCGCGCAGGCGGUCGUUCAAGUCGCGUGUGAAAGCCCCCGGCUCAACUGGGGAGGGUCACGCGAUACUGAUCGACUCGAAGGCAGGAGAGGGUAGUGGAAUUCCCGGUGUAGUGGUGAAAUGCGUAGAUAUCAGGAGGAACACCAAUGGCGAAGGCAGCUCGCUGGAACGGUACUGACGCUGAGGCGCGAAAGCGUGGGGAGCAAACAGG